CCCUCACCAUGCUGCCUGCUUCAGAGCCAGAAUAUGUGCCACCCUGACAACCACACUCACCACAGCCAGAGAAAAUCAUGGAAAGAGAAAAGGAUCCCCAGGCAAUGUUGACCUAUCCAAGACACACAAGACUUGGCUACAAGUAACUCAGAGAGCUGGGACUUCUCUGGGUACCUCUGAGAUCACCCAGUUAUUUUAUGCAGAGGGAUCAGCAUCUUGGAGAAGUUAAAGCCCUUACCUAUGGCCACUGGCUUUAUAAGUAAAGUCAAAGGCCAAGCCAGCACUCACUGAAUCAGUGAUCCCAUGAGAUGGCCACAGAAGGGCUAACCAACCAUCUGCUUUAAAUAUAGACUAUGUAUGUGAAAGACGGAAAGAAACAGUUGUCUGGGUCACCAGAAGCAAUUGGCCACAUCCUUCAAAUAGCAUGAGUUUAAGCUGAUAUCAGUUGUCAGUGCCCAUGUUCUUCCAAGAUUCCAUGGGGCCAUCAGGAAAAGAUGCAGAAUCUCAAUAGCCCAGUAGUAGUUUUCAUCAUCCUUUUCCGUCUGGACUUCACCCAAAGAGGCAUCCAAUCUCAGUGCCAAGUAAGACUGGGAACUAUCCUCUCCAUGGGAUAAAGCCAGGGACUCCUAAGGAAACCCCAGCUUCUCUUGGAGCCUGCAAGCUAAUGGGCUAUUUCCAUCUGCCAUGCUCUCUCUUCCAGCAUUCCCCUCCUCUCAUUGAAGAAUACAGGAAAUCCCUUGGCACUGGUCUGUUCAGAAGAACUGAGUUGGCUUGUUCUGAGUAGCCUCAGGCUUCCUUAAGCCUGUCAUUGUAGAAAUGGGAAUGCCCCCAGGUGGUUUGACUCACCACUGCCAUGUCUCCUCUUACCAUCUGAUCCUUUCUGGCAUGCUUCUGAGUUUGAACUCUUGUUUCUCUUUCUGAAUUUAUUGACAACUCCUUGCAGCUAUUGUCUUCACUGUGCCCGUUUCUGCUUUGCUGAUUGUUAAGCAGAGGUGAUGGGAGUGUAAAGGGAGAAGACUGGCUCUUUUCACUUGCUCAGCUAUAGAACAGAUCUGAGUGUCUACUUCCUUGCAGCCUGUGUGUUGGUCUGCCCAUGUGCCUAUGCCAGCCUGUGUGUAGCCCUUGUGUGCCAGCAUAUACCCGCCUCAAAGCCUGUGCAUUGAUGAAUAAAGAAAGUCUUUUCUUCCCACGACUCCUCAAAAAUCUCUUCAACGUCUUGGCCUCCCUUGGCCUGCCUCCUCUCCUGGCAUCAGAGCUUGGACCUCACAGGUACUGAGGAUAUGCCAGAAAACAGAAUGUAAGGACUGAGGAUAUGCUGGAGAACAGAAUGGCACAGCUUCAUGGACUGCAGUAUAUGGAAGAAAAACGGGCAUAAAAU